CCUACGGGGCGCACCAGUGGGGAAUAUUGCACAAUGGGCGCAAGCCUGAUGCAGCCAUGCCGCGUGUGUGAAGAAGGCCUUCGGGUUGUAAAGCACUUUCAGCGGGGAGGAAGGCGAUAAGGUUAAUAACCUUAUCGAUUGACGUUACCCGCAGAAGAAGCACCGGCUAACUCCAUGCCAGCAGCCGCGGUAAUACGGAGGGUGCAUGCGUUAAUCGGAAUUACUGGGCGUAAAGCGCACGCAGGCGGUCUGUCAAGUCGGAUGUGAAAUCCCCGGGCUCAACCUGGGAACUGCAUUCGAAACUGGCAGGCUAGAGUCUUGUAGAGGGGGGUAGAAUUCCAGGUGUAGCGGUGAAAUGCGUAGAGAUCUGGAGGAAUACCGGUGGCGAAGGCGCCCCCCUGGACAAAGACUGACGCUCAGGUGCGAAAGCGUGGGGAGCAAACAGGAUUAGAUACCCUCGUAGUC
rnacentral:rRNA from 1 species